CCUUGUACACACCGCCCGUCACACCAUGGGAGCUGACUCAACCAGAAAACGGUAUCGCUAACCGCAAGGAGGCGACCGUUGAAGGUGGGGUUGGUGACUGGGGGUG
rnacentral:rRNA from 1 species